rnacentral:rRNA from 1 species
UACGUAGGGGGCGAGCGUUGUCCGGAAUUACUGGGCGUAAAGGGCGCGUAGGCGGCCUUCUAAGUCGAACGUGAAAUCCCUGGGCUCAACCCAGGAACUGCGUCCGAUACUGAAAGGCUUGAAUCCGGGAGAGGGAUGCGGAAUUCCAGGUGUAGCGGUGAAAUGCGUAGAUAUCUGGAGGAACACCGGUGGCGAAGGCGGCAUCCUGGACCGGUAUUGACGCUGAGGCGCGAAAGCCAGGGGAGCAAACGGG